rnacentral:rRNA from 1 species
AGGACGAACGCUGGCGGCGUGCCUAACACAUGCAAGUCGAGCGAGGAGAUUCCUCGGGAUGAUCCUAGCGGCGGACGGGUGAGUAACACGUGGGCAACCUGCCUCAUAGAGAGGAAUAGCCUUCCGAAAGGGAGAUUAAUACCUCAUAACAUUGCAGUUUCGCAUGGAACAGCAAUUAAAGGAGCAAUCCACUAUGAGAUGGGCCCGCGGCGCAUUAGCUAGUUGGUGAGGUAACGGCUCACCAAGGCGACGAUGCGUAGCCGACCUGAGAGGGUGAUCGGCCACAUUGGGACUGAGACACGGCCCAGACUCCUACGGGAGGCAGCAGUGGGGAAUAUUGCACAAUGGGGGAAACCCUGAUGCAAGCAACGCCGCGUGAGUGAUGACGGCCUUCGGGUUGUAAAGCUCUGUCUUCAGGGACGAUAAUGACGGUACCUGAGGAGGAAGCCACGGCUAACUACGUGCCAGCAGCCGC